ACAUAAAAGCGCACGCCGCCGCCGCAAACCCUCCGCUACCACCACCGCCCGCCUCCACUCCUCCGGUCCGUCGUUUUCGUCCUUGGUAGGCCGACGCGAGAAUCGCCCGACAUCGUUCGCCACCGAGAUCUCCACCGACGCGCUGGGUCUCCGCUGCACCCAGCCCCUCCGCAGUUGACAUACCACGCCGCCACUCGCCGAUCUAUGGCAUCCUCGUCUUCGGUUACACGUCGCAAGAAUACUUCCCCGCUUCUGGUCUCCACCCCUGCUGAGGACACCCCGCACCUCCAUGGCUAUUGGUCCCUUCCACCCCCGCCGGCCACCUCCGCCGGUCGCCGACCUCGUCCGUACUCGGCAUCCUCAGCCGAACGUCAUCGGGCUUCUCCAAGACCGUCCUCACUCUCAGGCAAUGAAGAUCCCCUCCACCGUGGUCGCCUGACCCAUCAGUCGCAGUCAGAAGGCUCUCGGCUUUCGGAGGAUCCUCCCCGGCCACUCGACUUCUCCGCCAAGCAUGGUCACCUAACCAAGGCACUUCCUAUGCUUAAAGUUGGUCCUCUUGUUCCCACCCCAAAGGCUACUAAGGAUGAGAUUGAGAAGAGGCAUAGGCAACAACGCAAUAUGGCAGAGGUGGUAGUCGUGUACCGGUCCGUUAUACUUCUCAUCUUCACUGCUGCACUCUUCUACUACGAAUGCCAAAGGCUGAUAAUCUUGGUCUCUGAGAUUGCUGCGGUCCUUUGCCUUCUUCUUUAUCUCUGGUCUUCCCACAUUAUGCAGUUUUGGUUAGACCGUCCAGUGACCAAGGAUGCCUCAUUGGUCGUGUUCAUUUGGUGCUUAGUGCUUUGCCUACUAGGGUUUCUUGUAGGAGUGAUGAUUAGUCCAGUUGCUGCUAUGGUCAUCACCAGUUUGGCUGCAAUAUGCAUGUCAACAUUUUUUGUGCGAAGUCUACAUGAGUAUCUACAUACAAGAUCAGUGUGUUGUCUUAGUGAGGGAGGAGACAGUUUCUCCAGUGCCGUGGCUCACGGGGGGCAUACCAAGAACAGGAGAUCAGUUUCUCGCCAAGUUGUAUUUGCCAAGCCCCCAUGGAAAUAGUUCGGCAAGCGAAUCUCCAGUUACGAGCAAUCUGAAGAUAUCAAGGUGCAAAUGGACAUUGUUUACUGCAUUGUUCCCUGAGCUGGUUGUAAAAACUGGGAGCUAGCUGCGCAACGUCAGAAAAGGUUGAAAAAUGUCGCCACCACCAAAUUACUGCUGCCUUUUGCUUUCAUCAUCAGCUGAGUAUCAAUUAAAAUUAGGAAAGUUUGCUACAUUAGAUGGGGAUUAUUAGCAUCUAACAGUUGACUCCAGGAUGCAAAUUAUCGUCGCAAUGUUCUAUCUAUUUUUAUUAAUGUUCAUCAGUUAGCAGAUUUUUAUUUAUGUAGGAUUCUGAAACUCUCUAAUGGUAUGCAUUAAUUUACAAAAUGGCUCAAAAAAUAUUUAUCAGUUAUGGAA